rnacentral:tRNA from 1 species
GGGGUUGUAGCUCAGUGGUAGAGCACUUGCCUCACAUGCACGAGGCCCUGGGUUUGAUCCUCAACACCA